AACAACGGUCACAUUGUCAUCCUCUGCUAAGUGCCAAAAGCUAUUUUGCAGUGUUAACGUUUCGAACUGGACGCGCUGAAAAUUAAUAAAAAAAGAAACUUGGCGUGUGUGUUUUAAUUAAAUCAGUUCUUUAUAAGUGUCAUCCUGUUCGGACGGUAACGGAACGUAGUGUGAAAACUUGGACAUUACCAAAAAUAAA